rnacentral:rRNA from 1 species
AUACGGAGGGUGCAAGCGUUACUCGGAAUCACUGGGCGUAAAGCGCGCGCAGGCGGUCUUUUAAGUUGGAUGUGAAAGCCUACGGCUCAACCGUAGAACUGCAUCCAAAACUAUUAGACUAGAGUGUGGGAGAGGAAGAUGGAAUUAGUUGUGUAGGGGUAAAAUCCGUAGAGAUAACUAGGAAUACCAAAAGCGAAGGCAAUCUUCUGGAACACUACUGACGCUGAGUCGCGAAAGCGUUGGGAGCAAACAGGAUUAGAUACCCUAGUAGUCC